ACCAUUGAAGGCAAGAGGAACACUUGGCCACUCGAUCCAGGCGGAAAAUAGGUCCCAGAAAGAGUCAGAGGUUUGAAACAAGUCUGAGGCUAAACGGAGGCAACUACGCUUGUAUGUUUCCGGAAUAUAAAUCAGCGAAGGCGUGUUUGACGGUGUGGUUUGAUAUAAAAAUCAAUGUCCACCGACAGAUAUCUGAUCUGAUCCACCAUCAGAGUCGUGACGAGGGACGGGCUGUUGUGCAGAGCUGGUGAAGAGCUGCGAUCUGGAAUCAUCAGCAGCAGCACAGUGCGUGUGCGUGUGAGUGCGAGCGUGUGUAUGUGUGUGUUUAUGUGUGUGUGUUUGCAUGUGUGAGAGUGUGUUCAAGAACUGGGCCAGACACCGAGUUGUAACCAAGCAAAACAUUAUUGAGGAGAAAAGGAAGCGGUGGCGGCACAAAGACAGGAGGACGAAUACCCAUCCAGCCUCCUAUUCCCUGAGGGAGGAGAACGGGACGAGACGGAACACAACAGCGGCUCCAGAGCCACGGGAGCACCAGCCUGAUUUGGGAGAUAGUAAAGAUCCUGUCCGCGACACACACACACACACACGCAAAGUCCCCGAAACCCGGAUUCCGGAGCCCGUCCGUCUAGCGAAAGUGUGAUCGAGCUCAGGGUGUUUUCCUAUACGGGAUACGACUCGUAUUGCUGAGACCCAUCCCCACCCCGCCGGCACCCCGGUUCGAGUCCCCGCGGCACCGAGUCGCUCCGCACCGUCCCGAUGAAGGAGGCCGACGCGAUCAAACUGUUCGUGGGGCAGAUCCCCCGGAAUCUCGAGGAGAAGGACCUGAAGCCAAUCUUUGAGCAGUUCGGGAAGAUCUACGAAUUAACUGUGAUUAAGGACAAAUACACCGGAAUGCAUAAAGGAUGUGCGUUCCUGACAUACUGUGCAAGGGAGUCAGCGCUGAAAGCUCAGAGUGCACUGCAUGAGCAGAAAACUCUAC